UCUCUCUACUUUUCCGCCGUUGAAUCUCUACGGGCGCAGGCUGCGGACGUGCGCCGGGCGUCGUCUUGCCGGCCGGACCUUCUUCCCGCGUGGGCGAGCCGCGUCCUCCCUCCGCCGCGCCCUGCCUGGCUUGCUCACUUUCCGGCGCAGGGGCGAUGGAGCUGGCGAACGGAGUGGAGCUGCGAGAGCGGCGCCUGGCGGAGCGGGAGCCGGGGCUGGCGGGGGCCGCAGGGGCCGCGUCCCGCGGGCCGCCCCUCUCGGGGACGUCCUACUGGCUGGACUUGUGGCUCAUGGCCGCCUUCAACCUGGCGCUCUUCGUCUUCGUCUACCUGCUGCCGUGACGCAGGACAACCUGAUUCCAUGGUAGAAAAGCUAUUGUUGCCAUUCCUCCAGCAGCAUGUCUGUUCGGAACAAAGACACGUUUGGGAAACUGUUACAGACUGUUCUCUCGAGAAGCGAUGCCUGCGACAACUGCAUUUGAACUGUUAGCACUCUUUGUUGAGCCUGCCAGACGUGUGGUUUGACCUUCUACUUUUCAACCUGAAAUGGAUGGAAGUUGUGCCUUAUGACAAAUGUUACGCUGCUGUUGAUGCACUUAAAGGUUUUCCACUAUAUUAAAAUGGUUCCUUUUAUCUAUG